rnacentral:sRNA from 1 species
AAGAUAUACAAACUCCAACUUUCAAGAACAUUUAUGAAAUACACAAUUCAUACCUCAACUUGUCUCUGCAAGGACUGCACAUAAUUUAUAAUUUCAUCAAGCAUGACUGCUUUCCCUGUAAUCCGGUUGCAACCAGGAACCAGAUCCUGAAGCAACGUCAUUCUCUCACUAAUCUUUUCUCUUCUUGCCU